rnacentral:rRNA from 1 species
CACCGCGGUUAUACGAGAGACCCAAAUUGAUAACAAUCGGCGUAAAGAGUGGUUAAGAAAAUUCUACAAUAAGGUCAAAUGGCUUCAAAGCAGUUAUACGCACCCGAAACCGUGAAGUUCAAUCACGAAAGUAACCCUACCAAUUUCUGACUCCACGAAAGCCAUAAAA